rnacentral:rRNA from 1 species
GUAAAAAGUAGAAUAAUAGAUUUGAAAUAUUUAUUAUAUAGAUUUAAAGAGAUAAUCAUGGAGUAUAAUAAUUAAAUUUAAUAAAUUUAAUAUAACUAUUAAUAGAAUUAGGUUACUAAUAAAUUAAUAACAAUUAAUUUUAAAACCUAAAGGUAAACCUUUAUAUUAAUAAUGUUAUUUUUUAUUAUAUUUAUAAUAAGAAUAAUUAUUAAUAAUAAUAAACUAAGUGAACUGAAACAUCUAAGUAACUUAAGGAUAAGAAAUCAACAGAGAUAUUAUGAGUAUUGGUGAGAGAAAAUAAUAAAGGUCUAAUAAGUAUUAUGUGAAAAAAAUGUAAGAAAAUAGGAUAACAAAUUCUAAGACUAAAUACUAUUAAUAAGUAUAGUAAGUACCGUAAGGGAAAGUAUGAAAAUGAUUAUUUUAUAAGCAAUCAUGAAUAUAUUAUAUUAUAUUAAUGAUGUACCUUUUGUAUAAUGGGUCAGCAAGUAAUUAAUAUUAGUAAAACAAUAAGUUAUAAAUAAAUAGAAUAAUAUAUAUAUAUAUAAAAAUAUAUUAAAAUAUUUAAUUAAUAUUAAUUGACCCGAAAGCAAACGAUCUAACUAUGAUAAGAUGGAUAAACGAUCGAACAGGUUGAUGUUGCAAUAUCAUCUGAUUAAUUGUGGUUAGUAGUGAAAGACAAAUCUGGUUUGCAGAUAGCUGGUUUUCUAUGAAAUAUAUGUAAGUAUAGCCUUUAUAAAUAAUAAUUAUUAUAUAAUAUUAUAUUAAUAUUAUAUAAAGAAUGGUACAGCAAUUAAUAUAUAUUAGGGAACUAUUAAAGUUUUAUUAAUAAUAUUAAAUCUCGAAAUAUUUAAUUAUAUAUAAUAAAGAGUCAGAUUAUGUGCGAUAAGGUAAAUAAUCUAAAGGGAAACAGCCCAGAUUAAGAUAUAAAGUUCCUAAUAAAUAAUAAGUGAAAUAAAUAUUAAAAUAUUAUAAUAUAAUCAGUUAAUGGGUUUGACAAUAACCAUUUUUUAAUGAACAUGUAACAAUGCACUGAUUUAUAAUAAAUAAAAAAAAAUAAUAUUUAAAAUCAAAUAUAUAUAUAUUUGUUAAUAGAUAAUAUACGGAUCUUAAUAAUAAGAAUUAUUUAAUUCCUAAUAUGGAAUAUUAUAUUUUUAUAAUAAAAAUAUAAAUACUGAAUAUCUAAAUAUUAUUAUUACUUUUUUUUUAAUAAUAAUAAUAUGGUAAUAGAACAUUUAAUGAUAAUAUAUAUUAGUUAUUAAUUAAUAUAUGUAUUAAUUAAAUAGAGAAUGCUGACAUGAGUAACGAAAAAAAGGUAUAAACCUUUUCACCUAAAACAUAAGGUUUAACUAUAAAAGUACGGCCCCUAAUUAAAUUAAUAAGAAUAUAAAUAUAUUUAAGAUGGGAUAAUCUAUAUUAAUAAAAAUUUAUCUUAAAAUAUAUAUAUUAUUAAUAAUUAUAUUAAUAAUAUAUAUAAUUAUAUUAUAUAUUUUUUUUUUUAUAUAAUAUAAACUAAUAAAGAUCAGGAAAUAAUUAAUGUAUACCGUAAUGUAGACCGACUCAGGUAUGUAAGUAGAGAAUAUGAAGGUGAAUUAGAUAAUUAAAGGGAAGGAACUCGGCAAAGAUAGCUCAUAAGUUAGUCAAUAAAGAGUAAUAAGAACAAAGUUGUACAACUGUUUACUAAAAACACCGCACUUUGCAGAAACGAUAAGUUUAAGUAUAAGGUGUGAACUCUGCUCCAUGCUUAAUAUAUAAAUAAAAUUAUUUAACGAUAAUUUUAUUAAAUUUAGGUAAAUAGCAGCCUUAUUAUGAGGGUUAUAAUGUAGCGAAAUUCCUUGGCCUAUAAUUGAGGUCCCGCAUGAAUGACGUAAUGAUACAACAACUGUCUCCCCUUUAAGCUAAGUGAAAUUGAAAUCGUAGUGAAGAUGCUAUGUACCUUCAGCAAGACGGAAAGACCCUAUGCAGCUUUACUGUAAUUAGAUAGAUCGAAUUAUUGUUUAUUAUAUUCAGCAUAUUAAGUAAUCCUAUUAUUAGGUAAUCGUUUAGAUAUUAAUGAGAUACUUAUUAUAAUAUAAUGAUAAUUCUAAUCUUAUAAAUAAUUAUUAUUAUUAUUAUUAAUAAUAAUAAUAUGCUUUCAAGCAUAGUGAUAAAACAUAUUUAUAUGAUAAUCACUUUACUUAAUAGAUAUAAUUCUUAAGUAAUAUAUAAUAUAUAUUUUAUAUAUAUUAUAUAUAAUAUAAGAGACAAUCUCUAAUUGGUAGUUUUGAUGGGGCGUCAUUAUCAGCAAAAGUAUCUGAAUAAGUCCAUAAAUAAAUAUAUAAAAUUAUUGAAUAAAAAAAAUAAUAUAUAUUAUAUAUAUUAAUUAUAAAUUGAAAUAUGUUUAUAUAAAUUUAUAUUUAUUGAAUAUAUUUUAGUAAUAGAUAAAAAUAUGUACAGUAAAAUUGUAAGGAAAACAAUAAUAACUUUCUCCUCUCUCGGUGGGGGUUCACACCUAUUUUUAAUAGGUGUUCACCCCUCUUCGGGGUUCCGGUUCCCUUUCGGGUCCCGGAACUUAAAUAAAAAUGGAAAGAAUUAAAUUAAUAUAAUGGUAUAACUGUGCGAUAAUUGUAACACAAACGAGUGAAACAAGUACGUAAGUAUGGCAUAAUGAACAAAUAACACUGAUUGUAAAGGUUAUUGAUAACGAAUAAAAGUUACGCUAGGGAUAACAGGGUAAUAUAGCGAAAGAGUAGAUAUUGUAAGCUAUGUUUGCCACCUCGAUGUCGACUCAACAUUUCCUCUUGGUUGUAAAAGCUAAGAAGGGUUUGACUGUUCGUCAAUUAAAAUGUUACGUGAGUUGGGUUAAAUACGAUGUGAAUCAGUAUGGUUCCUAUCUGCUGAAGGAAAUAUUAUCAAAUUAAAUCUCAUUAUUAGUACGCAAGGACCAUAAUGAAUCAACCCAUGGUGUAUCUAUUGAUAAUAAUAUAAUAUAUUUAAUAAAAAUAAUACUUUAUUAAUAUAUUAUCUAUAUUAGUUUAUAUUUUAAUUAUAUAUUAUCAUAGUAGAUAAGCUAAGUUGAUAAUAAAUAAAUAUUGAAUACAUAUUAAAUAUGAAGUUGUUUUAAUAAGAUAAUUAAUCUGAUAAUUUUAUACUAAAAUUAAUAAUUAUAGGUUUUAUAUAUUAUUUAUAAAUAUAAUAUAAUAAUUAUUAUUAUUAAUAAAAAAAAUAUUAAUUAUAAUAUUAAUAAAAUACUAAUUUAUCAGUUAUCUAUAUAAUAUCUAAUCUAUUAUUCUAUAUACU